rnacentral:rRNA from 1 species
UACGAAGGGUGCAAGCGUUGUUCGGAAUCAUUGGGCGUAAAGCGCGCGCAGGCGGAUUUGAAGGUCAGAUGUGAAAUCUCGGGGCUCAACCUCGAAACUGCGUCUGAAACUCUAAGUCUAGAAUGUCGGAGGGGGUAGGGGAAUUUCACGUGUAGGGGUAAAAUCCGUAGAGAUGUGAAGGAACACCGGAGGCGAAGGCGCCUACCUGGACGACUAUUGACUCUGAGGCGCGAAAGCGUGGGGAGCAAACAGG